UGGAGGCGACACCUCAGCCAUUCUAGAUACUUCUAGCCUUCGAUGAAUCCCCAUUUUUCCAGUGGAUUCGGUCAUCCUUUCUCCUAGGUCGCAGGUGGAAGUGACAGCGAGCUCCGCCGCCCACAAUCUUUGAAGAUUGGGACUCUUACCUGUGAGUGAUCUUGGUCUGGAAUGGAGGUCCAGUUGGUGGGUGUCGAGCUCCGCGCGGGAUCGCUAUCGCUGGUCAUUUUCCAGAAAAUUGCUGCGGUCUAAGUUCAUAAGCCCAAGGCUGCCGAAAGCGUCAAGGCGCUGAACGAUUGCACACGCAGGUGCGUUCGGAGACGGUUCGGGGGUCAUGGCAGAUUUGGAGCUAAUGGCUUGGUUUUUUGCGUUCGAAUUGGACCUUAUUGGCGUCUCGUAGUGGUGGUUGCGCAGCAUGGGUUGCGUAAGGAGGAGGAAGAGGACCCAGGUCCAGGCGUAAGAGAAUGCGGCCUCUCUUCCGAAUGACAGAAUGCUGAAGAGUUUGGUGGUUUCAUGUGGGAAAUUGCUAGUACUAUUGUGACAUUCGGGGAAAAAAUUGCGGAAAGUCACGAUGCUGCGCCCAGCUUUCGAGCUCGAAAUAAUCAUUUAUUUGAGGAGUAAAUUGGAUCAGCAGAUGGAGAAAAUUAGUAGGGUUCGAAUCAGAUGCUUAUUUGUGUAGUUGGAGUCAAAGAGAAAUUCCCUGAAACAUUUCGUACAUAAAACUGCUUCUCUUGGAGUGAUGAUUUUCAUGACUUAAUCCAACAUGAAGACAUCUCCAUACUUUCAACCGGCGCAGAGUCCGCAUGGAUCUACACUUACGCUAAAAAAUACUUGCAUAUCCAGUGGCUGCUGAUAUCGCUAGAA